rnacentral:lncRNA from 1 species
GAAUGCUAUAAACCAUUGUAAAUAAAUCUUAAACAAUUCUUGCCUUUUUUCUCUUCCUAGUAUGUUCUUUUUAACUUGCAUUUUCUUCUUUUUAACUUUCCCGCACACGCUCGAUGCAUCUCCAUUUACUUCUUCAACCUCUUCCAUCCGACCCAAUUUACAAAAAACAAUGAUCGAUUUAUAAGAGUUUAUAAAUAACAAACUGAUACUUGGAAGUAAUUUUAUAAACCAUUAUACACAGAUUUUAAAUAUUUCUUACCUUCUUUCUUGUUCCUUGUUUCUUCUCUUUAACUUUCUCGGGCUCUUUGGAUACAUCUUCAUUUACUUC